UUACGGCCAGAUCAGGAUGAAACAUUGGUUCCAGUACGAUCACCGAAGUUAAACAACGUUGAGAUUGGUCAGUAACUGGAUGGGGGACCGCCUCGAAAUUCCAUUUGUUGUU